UCUCACUGACCCAGUUUUUGUCUCUCACCUGUAAAAGCCUAGAGGUAAACAGACCAGAGCUAGUGCUGUGUUUGAACAAUCUGCUGGGACCCAGGACUCUACACUUGCUGUUCUGCCAAGAUCAACAGGAAGCUGACACCUCAUGGCCUCACGUGGCUGCCCUUCUCCAGAAAACACAUCCUAUUUCCAGCGAGCAGGAAGUAGUGAGGGCUUUGGAAACAGAAUGAGCCUCAGGGUCCAGAAAACCCGGAUCCACCCUGUCUCCUGUUCUGGCAACUGUCUCCAAGCAGCUCCUGAGGCUGGUGCCCCAUGUUCGGUGUCCUGCUAAGAGGCCAAAUCUGGGAGUCAGAGCCUCGGAUGGGUUCAUCAGGCCUUCGCCGUGGCUUCCAGGCAGGAAUGUGAGAUAACAAGGAACCAGAUCUCUCAGCAUCCUGGCCUCCAGCAAGGACAUUCCAGAGCUGCUGCCUUGGAGUCUCUUGCCCUACUUGGACUCGUUCUUAUCAAGGCCAGUCCUCUGUCCACGCUUCCCUCCUCCCUCCCUCCAACCCAGCCCUAGAAGGGGCUUUAGAUGAAAAUGGAGAGGUUAGCACACAAUCACCCCAGGGGCGCUGUCCAUUUUCGGUCUC